CGAGAGCUCCUGCAGCUGCAGCUUCAGCUCCCGCGCCGAGGCCACGGCCUCGCCCUCCCGCACCUUGAGUGCCUUCAGCUCCUCCUGCAGCCGCGCCACGUUGUUCUCGUCGGGCAGCGAGCUGUUCCUCUGCCGGGUGAAAGGUGGUCAGAGCCCUCGGGAACUGCGCGGCCCGGCGGCCCUGACUGAGCUCCACCUUGGACAGCCUGGCCGGGAGAGGGUGUGCCCCGGAUCCCAGUAUACACUGGGAAGGCGGCCCAGGCCUACGGGGAGCAGACCCCACCCAUGUGGCCCUGGGGAUAGAGCCUCAGAAAUUCUGCCUGCAAAAGGGGUGUCAAGAACAGCACCUGCUCUCACUGGACUGUCUCAGAGCCCCCAGUGUCUCGGUCUCCCGCAGCCUCGACUGUUCCAGCUCUGUCUCCAGGUGGGCCACAAAGUCUUCGGUGAGGCGCGGGUUGUCCUGNUGUUCCUGAAGCUGCCGGAUGGUGCUCUGGGCCUUCUGCAGGUCCUCGGCCGCCGAGCUGCACUGCUGCCGGACCACCGCCAGCUCCCGCUUGAUCACGUAGUUCUCUUCGGCCUCCUGCGCCCGCGUCACCUGCCCCUGAGCACAGCUCGGAGCCACCAGGUGGCAGGCAGAAGCUUCCAGAUAAAGCCAUUCAAGAUGAGGCAGCAGCAGAAGCAGAAGAAGAAGGUGAUGGAAACACCCAGAGCACUCCCAGGAAGCCUCUGCAGUCAGAGAAUCACAGAUGGGAUUGACAGUCAUUCACGAUGUCAUGCGUGUGUGGGGAAACUGAGUGAGAGGAGGGCAGUUUUAUGUCUGAACCCCGCCGCCUGCCUGGAUUAGAGCUGUUUCAGGCUCGAGUCUCUACCCCACAUCUGGAAUCUGGAGUCCAGAUCCUCACCCCUGACCCUUGGAUCGCUCUGCCCAUCUCCGGCCUCGACCCACCGUUACGGAAGCGCAGGGUCCUUAAGGAGUUGGAUAUGUCCGAGUACCAGCUCCCUCUCUCCUGCUGACUCCAGAGGGAGCACGAGACGAGGAGGGAGCAAGAACUACAGGCUCUAGGCAUACAUCGGCUUUUUUUGUUUUCCUUCUGAAUUUUUGAUGCUUUGACAUCCAGCCUCCUGGCCAAUCUUGCAGAGACUGCCCCGCCCAGGACUAGCUAAUUCCUAGAGCCCGCAAACCACCUGCGGGCUAGUGCGCCUUUCACAGGCAACCCAGCCAACCCAGCGCGCAUGCCCACCCACCUUGCCUAGCUCACUGGUACACCAGCCCAAUGUUCUCCCUGCCCUAAAUUGCCCCAGGACAAUGAGGGACACCCCUGUAGCCCCCUGAAAUUAUUCAAACAAACCAGCCGUAAACUCAAACUCGACUACCCAGCCUUGCCCAUUCCUUUCUGUGGAGACCACAGUAAAGGUGCUGGCCCUCUGCCUCCGGACCCACUCCAGUGCUUCCCCAUGUGGUCAAGCAUGGUGGGGCGUGCCCCCUCCUUUUGGGAACUGUGAGUAAUAAACUCUUCUUUCAGAGGCA
rnacentral:lncRNA from 1 species